rnacentral:lncRNA from 1 species
AAUUUUGAUGUAACCCAUUGCAACUGAUAGGAGAGGGGCACUUCUGAAUCAGUACCUCCAUUCUUGCAAUUGUAGCCGAGCAAUUGAGUACACCCAGAGUAUUGAGUGUUUAAGACAAGAGUAAGAUUGUUCAGUUGAGAAGUAUUUCGUGAGAAAAUACCGAAAGAGGUGUUUUUGUGUUAGGGUGAGAGGUUUUGUUAUUAGGGUUUCACAAUGGCGAGACGUCUUAAGCGAACAAAAGAGAGGGAUGAUAGGUCAAGGAAUGU